rnacentral:rRNA from 1 species
AUGAAAGGAAACCAGCAAGGUGUCCAAAGGAGACUUUUGAAUGUAAAUCCUAGAGCAUUCUAUUCUGCUUGUGGUUGUCAUAGCCUUAAUUUGACACUUUGUGAUAUGGCUAAGACUUGCGGUAAAGCUAAAGACUUCUUUGGAAUCAUCCAGCGCAUAUAUACGACUUUUGCUAAUUCUACUAAGAAAUGGCAGAUUCUGAAAAAUAACAUAACAGGAUUAACUCCCAAGUCAGUGUCAGCUACACGCUGGGAGAGUCGUGUUGACAGUGUUAAAGCUAUUCGACUCCAAUGUGCAGACAUUCGGGAGGCCCUACUUCAAGUAUCUGAGACUGAUAAUGAUACAAAAACGAGCAGUGAGGCUAAAAGUUUGGCAAAUAAUGAACUUGGAGAACAUGAAUUUAUAGUGGCGAUAGUCAUUUGGUAUGAGGUAUUGUAUGCUGUUAAUUUAGUAAGCAAACACUUGCAAGCAAAGGAUAUGCUUAUUGAUGUUGCUAUUGAGAAAGUGCAAGGAUUGCUUUCUUUCUUCAAGGGUUACAGGGACACUGGUUUUUUAGAAGCAUUUCGUAAAAGACAAGAAAUUAAAAGAAAGAGACAUUUUGAUGAGAACCCAGAUGAUGCAAAUGUUGCCACAUAG